AUUUAAGUUAUCUCUGAUCUAUUGCUUUGUAGUUUGUACUACUUUGUACACUGAUGCUUGAGUGUAGUAGUGUUCUCUAGAUCUAAAUAGUUUAGGAUUGUUUCUAAAUUCUAAAUUCUAACAUGUCUUCUCCAUAUAUACAAUUAUACAUAUGUAUGAAUCUUAUAGUUGUGCAAUUAAACUUGUGUUGUUUAUCAUAUUUUAAUUAUUAAUUAUAGCAUUUUGUGUUGGAUGCGAGAAUGUCGUGGCAUUUCCUUUCUUUUUGGACAUUGUUGUUAGUUUCAGUGGACCGUGGAACCUAUGAAUAGUAGGCAUUGCUAGCAAGCUUUUGGUAGAAUGUGCCAAAGUUUGGUCUUUUUACCAGGAAUGAAAUUAGACUACUGCUCUAUGUAUUUCUUCUGUCUUUUUCCUGCAAAUGUCAUUUAAUUAGAAAUAGUAAAAUAUUCUGCUAAGAGUGGCAAAGAGACAGACUGAUCACUUCUGCUGAAUCGGUCUAACAAAGAGUAGUAUUCUGUAUAAACUUUAGGUUUAUACAUUGGACUGUGAAAGGCAGGAACUGAUAUUUGGCCGAUGUUUGUACUCACUAGAGGUGUAGAGUAAAAAAUAUAUAAUUGUUUGAUACUAUCACAGCUUGAUGCCUGAAAAGGUGUACAGGAAAAUCUGGAGUAUAGUCCAAGAAUGUGUCCUGAAUUCCUGAUCAUUAAGAAAGCCAUAUUUCCUAGAGAGAAGCCAACCCUUCAAACCGAAAACAACUCCUAAUGCAGGCAGCUCAAGCAUACCAGGUUGCUCUCAAGGUAGUAACUGAAGAAGACAGUAAACAAUUGAUGUAAAGGCAUAUUCUAAUAGAUGUGUAUCUAGGUGUGCAUUUUAUUUGUCCUCACUUAGUUGUGCGUUAUAACAAACAUGUAGCUGCAUAGUGCCAAAAGCUACUUCAUUCAGUUGUUUUGUUUUGCAGCUAUCCCUGCUAAAUGGCAUUAGACUAUCCGGAAUUCGUCGCGAAGCUCAGACCUAGGUGCUCUUCCUAUCCAUGUAGUGGGUCCUUGGCUACUAAAGUUUCACAUUUUAGAAGGUGUAGAACACUUUGGUAUUAUACAGUUUAGUGAUUUCACUUAGCACUAGAGGAUGGUUGUGUAUUUUAAGCUUUCACCUAUUUUUUGGUGGCUUCCAUGGAUAUCAAGCGCUAGUUACAUAUGUGGAGACAAGCAUAGUUUGAUUUUUAAGUGACAUGAUUGCAUAUGUACUUGAGUUUGACAAUUGAUUGAGUAUGUCUGAUGUCAUCGUUUGUGUAUUAAUCAUUUUAAUAUUGUAUUGGUCUGGAAUGUUUG